rnacentral:lncRNA from 1 species
GUAAUAAAGUAAAUACUUUUCAAAUAAGUUACCUUACAUGUUAUGUUGGCUGACAAUUUGUUAGCUACGCUGUCUUUACGAACCAUGUCAUUACAGCAUGUACCGGUAUGUUAGUUGGCUACUUAAACAUCAAACUUGCCAGUAUAUUAACUAUAGGCUAACUAACUACCCGUGGCAUAGUUUUAUUGAAUUGAUUAUUCCCGUCAUUAUUUGUUUAGCUAAAUGUUAUAGUCGUUGUGCGUUCUCAAUGGAUAUUCGGGUGCUUUCGUAAAUUCGCUCUGGCUAUUUACUCCGAUUUCGCCUGAGUGUACCGCAGAGCAGUGCAGAAUAAUGAAUUUACGAGCGCUCAACACCCGUUGAAUAUGGCCGGUGUCAGUAAACGUCGGCAAAAAAAAGCGUUAUUAAAUUGUUUCCAGCAGCACAUUUAGUCACAAACGCUCUGGACAACACGAAAACUGCCUAACCAGCUGUGCUAGGGAGGAAGCUUUUGUGAAUGAUGAUGAGGAAGUCGACUGAGCCAGAGGGAUUUUCCCCAUUCUAUACCCCCAUUGUCUUCUUCCCGAUUAUACACUUUUUUCCCAAAGUAUGCACUUGCGCAUUUUCUGUCAUGGAUCAGAAUUUGAUUGGCGUAAUUAUUGGCUAAAGGGAGUUCCCACCAUUGUUAAAUCUAUGACGGGAAAGGGUGGAUAAUUGGGAUCUAGCUCUCUAACCCCAGCCCUAACCCCUAGAGAAGUUUCAACUCAGGGUGUCGCCAAUCUUCCCUAUUAUCACCUGUGUAUUUAUACCUGUGUUCUCUGUCUUGUUUGUUGCCAGUUUGUCUUGUUCGUUCAAGCUUACCAGCGGUUUUCCUGUCAGCGGCUAUUGUUUCCAACCCUUGCUUUGCUAGUCCUCCUGGUUUUGACCGAUGCCUGACAUCUCUGCCUGAGCCUGCACCUUUGCUCCACCUCUGGAUUACUGAACCCUGCCUGACCCUGAGUCUGCCUGCCGUCCUGUACCUUUGCCUAACCCUUGAUUUUCGACCCCUGCCUGCCUUGACCUGUCUUUGCAUGUCCCUGUUUGCUACAAUAAACAGGGUUACUUCGACAGUCUGCAUCUGGGUCUUACCUUGAUUCUUGAUAAGCCUAUACUGUCAGAUCCAAAUAAUGUUUACAUAAAGCAACAUUGCCAAAGAUGUCAACAUUCCAGACCUCCAGGACAUGUCCUCAUUUGAUCCAGAGAUGGAACCACUGGUUAAAUCGUGACUGGACCAAAGACUGGGGCAGAUCUACUGGGCUCCUGAGUGGCGCAGAGGUCUAAGGCACUGCAUCUCAGUGCUAGAGGUGUCACUACAGACCCUGGUUUCGAAUCCAGGCUGUUUCACAACUGGCCAUGAUUGGGAGUCUGCACAAUUGGCCCAGCGUCAUCCGGGUUUGGC